rnacentral:lncRNA from 13 species
AUGAGGCUAGAAAAAAGUUGGAAGUAUGCUAUUGUGUUCACGUCAUCAGUGGUGUCCAAGGUGGGAAGAGUAUACCCUAGGAGAGGUGCAAGCCUAUCCAUUUUAGCGAAAAUAAAAACUUCAGAACUUUUUUCUUUUUUCUUCCUUUCUUUUGAGUCAGGGUCUUGCUCUGUCACCCAGGCUGGAGUGCAGUGGUACCAUCAUAACUCACUGCAGCCUAAAACUCCUGGGCUCAAGCGGUCCUCCCACCUCAGCCUCCCAGUAGCUGGGACUACAGCCUCCCUGCACCAUCAUGCCCAGUCAGUACCCUUCAAGAUAUUGGGGAUGUCAGCUUAACAAGAACACAUUCAUACCCUCAAGGAGCUCAGAACUGAGUCAGGAACUUAAGAUUUUACCAAAUAGUGAUGUCCAACUGACAUCUGUAUGAUACCUACAUGACUGUUCAAAGUGUAAACACGUUUAUCCCAAAAACUCUUUUGUAAGAAAGAGCCAGCUGUAGGAUGCCGGGGCUUGUUUGUAAACUGGCUUACUUGGAGUCCUUGUGAAUAAUGAGGGUUGAAUUUCAAUUUGCUUGAAACAUAAGAAACAUUGUGCCUAUGAAAAUUAUAAUAAUGCACUGUUUCUUAUUUCAAGUGUUUUAGGGAGCUCACUUGCUUGUUUUAUUCUUUAAACCUUGCAGUGUGCCACAUGUAUGACAUUUAUAAAGUAUUAGUGAUCUUGUUAACCAAAAUAAGAAAAACAUUUCACAAGGGUUCCCACUUCCGUAUUGUUUUAUUAUCUUAAAAGUUUAAACAAGAUGUUCUGUUGCUAUUGUUUUUCUUGCCGUCCACUGUAUUAGCACUUUCCCUCAUGUGCUUUGGAGGUUGAUCCAUGAAUUUCUCAGACAUUUUGUUGGAAUUACAUUAAGGGUAUCGGAUUAGAUGGUGAAGAGGAGACUGAGGCAACCUAAAAAUGACCAACCACGUCAUUGUUCUCUUGCUAUGUCUUUAGCAUGAUGAUUAAGAUACAAUUCCUUUUAAAACCAAGUGGCAUUUUAUGUUUCCCAAAUUAGAAAUCCAUUUUAGUUAAUAUUUAAAAAAAACACGAAACCACAACAAAAACCGUCAUUGCUUUUACUGCAGAGUGUUAAUGAAUGUAGAGAUUAGAGAGAUGUAGUGUUUAAUUAAUGAUGUUAGGCUAGGGUUCUAAGCUACUGGAUCUUCAUUUAUGCCUGUGUAUACAUGCCUAGAUGUGUUUAUUUAUAUGUACACUUAUUGUUAUAUCUAAAAGUUAGCUCAGAAUACAGAUUUGUAAAGGUUAUUAAUAAAACAAUGUAGUAAUGAAUCA